GAUUAGACUCUUCCUCUAGCGCCUAUCUGUUUGUGCUAAAGUUCAUUGACAUCGGAUUUGCUAGAGUUGAAGGUGUGAAUAGGGCCUCAGGAUGGUGUACCUGCAAAAAGUCCAGAUCGAAAAGUAUUCAGACGGAGACCCUCCGAUGCCCAAGUUAGCUAGUAGAACCAAUAAAUAGAGGAGCGUGGGGCUUAGAAAAAAUUAUGUACCUGGGGUCCCUCUUUUUGUCUCAUUUUAUAAACAAAGGUCGAAGUCAUAGUUAGCAGG
rnacentral:lncRNA from 1 species